rnacentral:misc_RNA from 1 species
UACGCACACUUCAAACCAGAUCAAUAAAACUCCCUUGUUACAAUCAAACUUUUAAUAAAGCAAAUAAUUUUUUCAAUAAACCUUCUAAAUGUUUUUUCCUCUCCCUACUCUACCUUUUGAGCAAGCAAAAUUUGCACUGGACGGCCGUCUUCGAUAAAUCCAAUCUCAUCUUUUAAAACCCUAAUUCGUCCAUCCGACUCUGAAACUAUUGCUGCCGCUUCUCCUUUUUCGAAUCUAUGAUCACUUCCUCUAGGAUGUUCAUACUGAUGCACCCCAUCGUUGACAAAUGUACACAAGAAGAGAAAUCCGUUAUUUCUCAAUAAUGAAGAACUUUGUCUCAGCAACGCACGGUUUAAGAAUCGAAUUUGUAGAACUAAAUCGUAUUUGUAAACAUCACCUUCUGGAACGUUUUGAAAAUCAGCUAGCAUAUCUGCCAAAGAGAUUGCCGUUGCGUUUGGCUCUUGUUUUCCAUCUCUAGUAUACAAUUUCCAUAAUCCCGAUGCAUCUACUUUAGCAACUUUUUUUCCUUCUAUCCUAUCCUCUAGACCUAAACCGCUGAAAAGCUCCGAAAAUCUUUGAAUCGCGCGCUUUUCAGCAUCUAAUGCAGAAACCAUCCAAUGUUUACCGCUCUCUCUAAAACAUAUCCAUGCCAAAUCCCUCCCAGAUCCACAUCCAAUGUCUAAAACUCUUGCAUUAUUUGUCUUUAUUCCUUUUUCAACGACUGGCAUGACCUCUUUUAAAUACGGACAUGGUUCAAAUAGUAAAUUUCGAUUUGGACCGCUUUCCAAAAGCUCAUUCUGAGGUAAAGAUAAAUCUUCCCAUAUUUUAUGACUGAACAUAAAGUGUCCAGCUAUAUUCCAUCCUCUCUUCUUCAAUUGUUGAGCGCAGGUUCCUGUCUCUUCCGUCUCUAUUUUAUCUCCCUGGUCUUCGACAACGAAGAGUUCCUCUUGCUUUGCUGGUAAUUGAUACCAGCAUUUAGAAAUUUUUUCACUUGGAAUAUUGACUGACUUUCGUAAAUGGCUGAUUUCGUACUUGGAUUGAGCACGAACAUCUAAACAUUUAAUCUCACCUCGAACCACGGCCUUUACGAGAUGUUUUGGAUCAUUUAAACUAUUCAUUUGCAUAUUCAAGGGUCACAUAAUCUUCAAUCGA